UACAGAGGGGGCAAGCGUUGUUCGGAAUUACUGGGCGUAAAGCGUGCGCAGGCGGUUCGUUAAGUCAGCUGUGAAAGCCCCGGGCUCAACCUGGGAAUGGCGGUUGAAACUGGCGAACUUGAAUCUGGCAGAGGGGGGUGGAAUUCCACGUGUAGCAGUGAAAUGCGUAGAGAUGUGGAGGAACACCGAUGGCGAAGGCAGCCCCCUGGGCUGAGAUUGACGCUCAGGCACGAAAGCGUGGGGAGCAAACAGG
rnacentral:rRNA from 1 species